rnacentral:rRNA from 1 species
UACGGAGGGUGCAAGCGUUAUCCGGAUUCACUGGGUUUAAAGGGUGCGUAGGUGGCUAUUUAAGUCAGUGGUGAAAGCCCGCGGCUCAACCGUGGAAUUGCCAUUGAAACUGAGUAGCUUGAGUACAGUUGAAGUGGGCGGAAUACAUCAUGUAGCGGUGAAAAUGCUUAGAUAUGAUGUAGAACACCGAUUGCGAAGGCAGCUCACUAAGCUGUAACUGACACUGAGGCACGAAAGCGUGGGUAGCGAACAGG